rnacentral:rRNA from 1 species
CCUACGGGAGGCUGCAGUGGGGAAUAUUGGACAAUGGGGGGAACCCUGAUCCAGCCAUGCCGCGUGUGUGAAGAAGGCCCUCGGGUUGUAAAGCACUUUCAGUGAGGAAGAACGCCUGGUGGUUAAUACCCAUCAGGAAAGACAUCACUCACAGAAGAAGCACCGGCUAACUCCGUGCCAGCAGCCGCGGUAAUACGGAGGGUGCGAGCGUUAAUCGGAAUUACUGGGCGUAAAGCGCGCGUAGGUGGCUUGAUAAGCCGGUUGUGAAAGCCCCGGGCUCAACCUGGGAACGGCAUCCGGAACUGUGAAGCUAGAGUGCAGGAGAGGAAGGUAGAAUUCCCGGUGUAGCGGUGAAAUGCGUAGAGAUCGGGAGGAAUACCAGUGGCGAAGGCGGCCUUCUGGACUGACACUGACACUGAGGUGCGAAAGCGUGGGUAGCAAACAGGAUUAGAUACCCCAGUAGUC